UUGUGCAGGCCCCCAGAGCAUCAUGAAGAUAGGAGGUUUGGAACUAGAUCUGCCCAACUUUGUGCCCAUUGGUAUUAGGGUACCAGGGUAUAAAGACAUGGCACGAAAGAAGAUGGAAGUGGACUUGGAGCUGCUGCUGAAUUCCACCACCACAGAUGGCAGCAACUCAAGAGGACUCAACAGCAUCCCUUUGAGCAGUGGAUUUGGGUAUUGCCCGUGUUCCUGGUAUGCGGAGAUCCUACCCUCAGCCUGGUGGAGACAGGGCAUGAGACAGGCUGAUCCAAGGGAGAACUCAUAUUCCGCCCCAGGCUGAUCCUGCACGUCCUCUAGCAGUCCACCUAGACCCGGAAGCAGCCAAACCAAUUGGUGUAGAGAGUGAUUUCUUUCUAAUUUCACCCCAUCUCUUACUCCUUUGAAGAAAAUGAUUGUGCCCUCCACUCUGCCUCUAGCUUUUGUCAGGAGCAAUUUUGCACCCUCGAGAUGAAAAUGUUUGUCAAUCAAAUAGUGGACCUUUUUAUAUUUGUUUUUACUUGAACAAAAAGUUUAGGUACCACGGAAACUUGAUUUCCUAAAUUAUGGGCUCACGGUGGGUAAUAGUUUUGCCUUAGGAGGAAGAAAAUUGGUUCUUGGUGACUUUUGAAAAAAGUUUACUCUUUCUAUAUAUAAAGCACAGAUACACAUGUGGUACAUAAACAGGCAGUGUACCGCUGGCGUUAAAAUUUGGUAAGUGGCAAGUGAUGAGGGGAAAAAUUGUCUGAAAAAGGCUCUGUAGAAGUCCGAUAAAGCAAAAAAAAAAAAUUUAGAAGUUCUGCAGUAAAUGAGAGUUAACUAUUUCUUGCACAUAACAGAAGGUCUGGCACUAUUAACGCUCAUUAUUUCUCCAAGUUUUGUUGGGUUUUUUUGGUACCGGGGAUUAAACUCAGGUCCUUGCACUUGCGAGGCAGGCGGCGGAACCACUGAGCUCAAUCCCCAUCCCUUCUCAAAGUUUUAAAAUGAAAUUCUGGGGCUUGGGAUGCGGUUUAGGGUUAGAACACUUGCUUACCGUGUGCUGCCAUGGGUUAGAUCCCCAUCGCCACACACACAAACACAAAACAGAUCUUAGCGCUCACAUCCAAGUUUCAGAAGGGUUUCUAGAUGUUAUAAAAAGCCUGAAAAAUGCAUUUACUACAUGUUACUUACUUUGCUUCUCACCUGCUAUGGUAUUAUAUCCAUUGAUAGUUGUAAUGUACAUAUCAUAGACUGUCAGAGAGCAAAUCAAUCCCCUUUGUUUUACGUAUUAAGAAACUGAGCCUCUCCACCAAAUCUACAAAAUGACAUAAUGACAGAGCUAGUUCUAGGAACCAGUGUCUCCUGGCUCCUAAAAUCUAGUGUUCUGUCCACUACUGAUAAAUAUCUAAGCUGAUUAAACAAAUGCAGCUUUCAAGUCAUUUGAGGCAUGAAAGAAUAUAUUGUCACAAAAUGUAAAGGAAACUAAAAUUGACCAGAAAAAGAAUACAUUACCUUUUAAAAAUAGGCAGAUGGAAAAAUAAAGGCAGCAGGCAUGUUGUGUGGAGAACAGUCACAUUUUAUAGACUCAGGAUUUUGCUCUAAUCCUGCUAUGGGAAUAAAAGGAUUGAUAUGAGACCCAGCCUGCUGGUAGAAGAGAGAAAUAAAGUUUUCUUCCCUUGUUUUUUUGGGAGUCUGGGGAUCACUGAACCCUAGGGCCUUAGCACAUGCUGGGAACGUGCUCUACCGCUCAGCCACACCCAAGCUUGUGGAUAUUGGUUUUAUUGGGAAGGCUUUCUGAAAAGAAACAGGUUGCAGAGAGAUAAUGGAGGUUAUAUGCUUGCAGAAAUACAUGAAUCCUGUUUAAUGUAUUAAACACUCCAGGGAGGGAAUGCUUUAGACCCACUUCUCUAAUCCUCAAAGUCCUUGAAGCAAAGAGAGAGCUCAGUUAUGCUUUCAUACGUUGGUUUGUUGUAUAAUAGAUUUGAAGUUUUUAAAAAAUCAUAUUACAGUAUAUAGAGUUGCAUUUAAUAGCUUACAAUCCCGAUGCAUUAAAUUCAUUUGUACAGAAAGGUGACGCUUAAUAGGAUACUUAUCUGGUAGGAGCUGAAGAUAUAGAGACUGCAAAGUAGACCAACUCCAGAGGCUCUGUUCUAUAAGAACAAGGUAAGAAGUAACAUAGGAAUUGUGUAUAUAGCAUGCCUGAGAUCAGGAAACUUUCCCAACUGAUCUGAGGUCAUAUUUUGUGCUGUUGUAGUGAGCUUGGGGUGUGUUCAAAGAAAUUAUUCUGAAGCAAAAAAAAUUAAAAUAUGGGCUUGGAUUACACUGAGCCUUAGAUGAAUUCAUUUUCACCUCAAUUCUUUACAGUUACCAAUGUACACUGCCUGUUUUUCUCACUUUCCCUUACUUAGGCCUCUAGUACUUGGUGUCUUGCCUCUUUCUAAAUUAUACCAAAUAUGAAAGUAUUCUGUCUGUAUCUUGCUAAAUAUUGUUGUACCUCUUUCAAGUAAUUUUCUAAUUUUUCUUGAUGUUUCAAUAAACUUGCAAAUGUCAAACGUUUUGAACCUCUUGCAUUUUUAUACUUGG
rnacentral:lncRNA from 1 species